AGAUUGAACGCUGGCGGCAGGCCUAACACAUGCAAGUCGAGCGGCAGCACGGGUACUUGUACCUGGUGGCGAGCGGCGGACGGGUGAGUAAUGCCUAGGAAUCUGCCUGGUAGUGGGGGGAUAACGCUCGGAAACGGACGCUAAUACCGCAUACGUCCUACGGGAGAAAGCAGGGGACCUUCGGGCCUUGCGCUAGUCAGAUGAGCCUAGGUCGGAUUAGCUAGUUGGUGAGGUAAUGGCUCACCAAGGCGACGAUCCGUAACUGGUCUGAGUAGGAUGAUCAGUCACACUGGAACUGAGACACGGUCCAGACUCCGUAGGGAGCAGCUAGUGGGAAUAGUUGGACUAAGUGGGGACGAAAGCCCGUUGGA
rnacentral:rRNA from 1 species